CCUGGCUCAGCUGUGGGUGACCGCAGUGCCGGGACAGCGUGUCUGCCCUGGAGGACUCUGGAAAAACCACGCGUGGGGAACAUUUUGGACCCAAGAACAGGCCAAAGUCUGCAUCCCUCUUCCUGGGCCUUCAAAAACCAACCCCUCAAGAGUCAGGCUGUGUUCUUUACUACAAGCACAAGUCCGACUAUUUUUGUUUUCGUUUUGUGGUACUGGGGAGUGAACCCAGGGCCUUCGCACUGAGCUCCAUCCCCAGCCCUUUCUUAUUUUUUAUUUUGACACAGGGUCUCACUAAGUUGUUAAGUGGUCCAUGCUGCGCUCGAACUUCCGACCCCCCUGCCUCUGCAUCCCGAGUGCUGGGAUGGCAGGCUUAUCGGGUCAUCUUCAUGAGACGGUUCCGGGAUCACAGACCAGGAUGACCUGAAAAGCCCUCAAGAAACAAUCGAGUAGAGGCUGGGCCGGGAACCCCGCCACCCGGAGCCUCCCCGUCCCCGGUCCCGGACCCACCAGCGUCCCGGAGCUCCUGCAAGAGGGAGUGGUCCAGCUGCGCUCACAACGCAAGGGAAAAGAAAGCCCUUCCGGGCGGGCGGGCGAACCGUUCCGGGGGCAGGGCCAGCGAGGGGGAGACAGACACGGGGAGGCCCACGGCUGGGGACCUGGCGCGAAGGAGGACGUGGCCGCGGGGUGCUCGGCAGCAGGACGACCGAGACGUCCUGUCCCAAAGAGAAGAGCUCAGGCCUGCGCUGCGGGACAUCCAGGGGCAUCAGGGAGGCUUCCUGGAGGAGACGCCCUAACGGGAAGGAAGGCGCAGAUCUAAACGGAGAAAGGCGAGGCCUAGGCGGAAAGCGAGGCAGAUGGGAAGUUAGCUGGGUGUGAAGCCGGGGGAACAACCGCAGAGAUGGCGCUGCUCCCGCGGGCGCCUGCCGGGGCGGGAUCCCCUUAGGAUCACUCGCACCGGAAGUCGAUUCUGGAGGUGUGCGGGCCUGCAGCUCUCGGCGGAACUCACAGGCGCUCGCUCGCGCUCUCUCCCUCCCUCCCUCUCCCAGUCUCACGCAUAGGUGCCGUUGUGAGCACACAAGCUCCACAGGUUGGGAUUUACACUUCUGCAUCUAUCUCAGAAGAGAGGGGAAAGUCUAGGGCGUAGCCCCUAGCUGUCCAUUGAGUCAGGCUGAGCACUGCACCCUCGGGCCUCACACAUGCUCUUUGUUUGAGGAGGGGCCGCCCGCCCUCGCCCAGGGCCCAGCACUGGGCCUGGGAAAGCUCUGUUCCCAGGAGCCUGAGAAGUUGGCCUCUGUCUAAGGCCCUGGAGAGGAGAACCUGGGGGAACCAAGUGCCCUGGGCAGCCGGGAGUCAACCUGCCAGACUCCUCAAACAGCCGGGCCCUCCGGAAGGCUUUGGGCAGGGAGCUGGGGAGCGGGGCCCCAACUCUGGGUGCUGGGAAGACACAGUGGGGUCCCCGGGGCUGGCAGUGCCAGUGGCACCUGUGGCCUGGAUGCGGCCUAGCGAUGCCAACUGUGUCCAGUCCUCCAUAAAGGGCCGGCCUCGCCCACCUGUCCGUGGUGCCACUCAGCUCUCCGGGCAAGACUUUUUGGCCACGCUGGAAAAAUCAUCCUCGUUGUCGAUGUCCUGCUCACCUAGGAGUUGCUGCAACCCUGCCAGUCUGGAGGCGUGGCUUAGCAGCGGAGCCCUCACUGGGCAUGGCUGGGCCCUGAGCUCAAUCCCCAGCACACAAAAGAGAGGAGAAGACCCUCCACCACCCUAGAUGUGCUGGCCCCCAACGUGACAUCUGUGCCACACUUGGCAGUUCCUGCCCUUCUGUCCCCAUCCCUGAUCAUCUAAAUCUUACGACAGCCCCUGAGGCCCCAGGUACAUUUGCAAUCCUCCUGCCUCAGCCUCCUGAACAGCUGGGAUUACAAGCACGACCCCAGGUACAGGUUCUGAGCUGCAUUUUCCCUUGAUGUUCAGAGAGCUUGUGCAGCUGCCCUGAGGACUCCCAGUGAUUUCCCGGGAGCACAGCACAGCACCGAGGGAAUCACUGCCGCGGGAAGCGAAAGCAAAGAACAGAGUCGAG
rnacentral:lncRNA from 1 species